UGGGGAAUUUUGCGCAAUGGGGGAAACCCUGAUGCAGCGACGCCGCGUGAUUUAGAAGGCCUUCGGGUUGUAAAAAUCUUUUGUAUGGGAAGAAAAUGACAGUACCAUACGAAUAAGGACCGGCUAAUUACGUGCCAGCAGCCGCGGUAAUACGUAAGGUCCGAGCGUUGUCCGGAAUCAUUGGGCGUAAAGGGUACGUAGGCGGAUAAGCAAGUUAGAAGUGAAAUCCUAUAGCUCAACUAUAGUAAGCUUUUAAAACUGCUCAUCUUGAGGUAUGGAAGGGAAAGUGGAAUUCCUAGUGUAGCGGUGAAAUGCGCAGAUAUUAGGAGGAAUACCGGUGGCGAAGGCGACUUUCUGGCCAUAUACUGACGCUGAGGUACGAAAGCGUGGGUAGCAAACAGG
rnacentral:rRNA from 1 species